GGCAGGCCUAACACAUGCAAGUCGGACGGUAGCACAGAGGAGCUUGCUCCUCGGGUGACGAGUGGCGGACGGGUGAGUAAUGUCUGGGAAACUGCCUGAUGGAGGGGGAUAACUACUGGAAACGGUAGCUAAUACCGCAUAACGUCGCAAGACCAAAGAGGGGGACCUUCGGGCCUCUUGCCAUCAGAUGUGCCCAGAUGGGAUUAGCUAGUAGGUGGGGUAACGGCUCACCUAGGCGACGAUCCCUAGCUGGUCUGAGAGGAUGACCAGCCACACUGGAACUGAGACACGGUCC
rnacentral:rRNA from 15 species